AGUGACCCAAUUUCAGAGACCGAUCAGCUGGAAGAUGCAGACAUCUGGCAGACGUUACGAGAAGCAAGGAAGCAAACCCUAAAUAACUUUUUGGUGUGUCACUUAAAUAUUAACAGUCUAAGUCGAAGGUUAUAAACUGUUUCGGCGUGACAGAACAAGGCAUGAAGGAGGGCUGGCAGUAUUUAUGCGAUCAGAUAUUCCAGCUAGGAGAAGAACAGACCUUGAGGACCGAGAUUUAGAAUCCAUCACUAUGGAAGUGACACUAGUUUAAAUCUAUGAUUGCCUCUUGGAGCGGUAAGGACUGUGUGUGUACAGCCUGCUCCACUAGGUAAGUUGUGUCCUUUUUGUUUGUGUGUCUGUGCAUGUGUGUCAGUUUUUCUUUUCAUUUUUUUCCUGUUAUGUUCUUUUUAUGUUUCUGUCGAUGUGCUGUUCGCAUGUUUGUAAUGUUGUGACUUAUGUAUGUAUACCUGUUGCUUUCUCUAUGCAUCUGUGCUGUAUUGUUUAUGUGUCUGUACAUGUGUGUUUUUAUAUGUAUCUUUAACUGAUGACGUCCUUUAAAUUAGACUGUGUGCUGUAUUGUUGCAAGUAAUUCUAUGUUUAUAUAGUGCUGGAUGUUUUCAUUGUUUUACUGUUAUGUAUAUGUUAAACAUGUCAGUCAAAAGCUCAUUAGAGCUUGUGUUACUUUUUAACUACCAUACUGACUUUAAAUAAAGCUUAUCUU